GCUGUAGCUGAGUGGUAGGGCUGCUGAUUUGCAUACAGAAGAUCCUAGGUUCAAUCCCUGGCAUCUCCA